rnacentral:lncRNA from 1 species
AUGGCGGCGUCCCGAUGCACCUGCAUUUAUUCUUGUAUAGAGGAAAAGCAUGGAGGUCAUAUAAGUGGCCUCUCCUGGACACAGGUGAUAGCCCUUACAAACAAGGUGACAAAGUGGCCUCUCCUGGACACAGUUACGCGUGCCACCAGACCCAAGCUCAAGUACUUCCGUCAUGAACUGACAGCUGGAGGAGUGGACAGUGGCAACGGGCAGCACCUGGGUGAGCAGCUGUCCUUCUCCCUGCAGGGCUCUCCUGUACCAGCCGCUGGCUUGGCCUAUGGACAAAACUGCGAGCAAAAUCACUCUCAUCUCAUGCACAUCUGUACCUGCUGGAGACACACAUUCAUCAGCAAACACCGACAGGCUGGACCGACUGCCAACCAGCACCGCCUUGGCCUGCAGUGGAGAAGGAUGGUCCAAGAUCUCCCUGGGAAGCAUAGCCAGAGAUUAUGA